ACCCAGCACACAAGACUCUUUCUUGUUUAGCUGGAGUCCACACACCUAUAUAAGCCACACCUUUUCCAGAAGGUUUCCCAGAGCAGCAAAUACUUCUAGCAGUCUUUCUACAUGCCACAUUUUUCAAACUCAUGUUUUCAUAGCCGGGUACAUGGCACUGAUAGUUUUUUCAAGAUAACGGCAACGUAGCUUUUGUUGUUUUUUAGCUAGCUUUUUCUUCUCCUUUAUAAAUUACUGACUUUUCUUCCCUGUUUGUUCCCUAGUGAACUAUGUCAACUGGAUGAACCCCAGCCAUGGCUACAAACCUAUCCUCUUCUGUUGAGGGAUUUGGUUUAAUUAAGGGGCAGUGCAGUGGUUCUGUGGCUAAGGAUCUGCAUCUGUGG
rnacentral:lncRNA from 1 species